AUGGCUGUCGUCAGCUCGUGUCGUGAGAUGUUGGGUUAAGUCCCGCAACGAGCGCAACCCUUGUCAUUAGUUGCUACAUUCAGUUGGGCACUCUAAUGAAACUGCCGGUGACAAACCGGAGGAAGGUGGGGAUGACGUCAAGUCCUCAUGGCCCUUAUGGGUAGGGCUUCACACGUAAUACAAUGGCGCGUACAGAGGGCUGCUAAGCCGCGAGGUAGAGCCAAUCCCUUAAAGCGCGUCGUAGUCCGGAUUGCAGUCUGCAACUCGACUGCAUGAAGUCGGAGUCGCUAGUAAUCCCGGAUCAGCAACGCCGGGGUGAAUACGUUCCCGGGCCUUGUACACACCGCCCGUCAAACCACGAAAGUCGGCAACACCCGAAGCCGGUCACCCAACCCUUUUGGGAGGGAGCCGUCGAAGGUGGGGUCGGUGAUUGGGGUUAAGUCGUAACAAGGUAGCCGUACCGGAAAGUGCGGCUGGAUCACCUCCUUUCUAAGGAGUUCCUGCAGAUUUCUCUCGGGCAUUUGCUCGGGGGGAACCUGCGAACUUCCAGUCGAUCACUGGUUAUUCGGCGUUCUUGGCGCACUUGGUAUUUGAGGUGCCGCAGAGCUUCGGUUCUGCGGUCCCCGACCAGGGCAAGAAGGGCGUCGGACUGUUCCUCUUCCGUUUUCGGGGAGCGGCGCGUGCGAACGUGCCCCUUGAGAACUCCAUAGCGAGCACGAGCAUCUAAUUCUCCAAGCUACAAAGAGCCAACGGUGGAUGCCUUGGCGCCUGAAGCCGAUGAAGGACGUGGGAGGCUGCGAAAAGCCACGGGGAGCUGCCUACCAAGCUUCGAUCCGUGGACGUCCGAAUGGGGAAACCCGG
rnacentral:sRNA from 1 species